rnacentral:rRNA from 1 species
CCUACGGGCGGCAGCAGUGAGGAAUAUUGGUCAAUGGACGAGAGUCUGAACCAGCCAAGUAGCGUGAAGGAUGACUGCCCUAUGGGUUGUAAACUUCUUUUAUAAAGGAAUAAAACGAGGCACGUGUGCCUUUUUGCAUGUACUUUAUGAAUAAGGAUCGGCUAACUCCGUGCCAGCAGCCGCGGUAAUACGGAGGAUCCGAGCGUUAUCCGGAUUGAUUGGGUUUAAGGGGAGCGUAGAUGGGUUGUUAAGUCAGUUGUGAAAGUUUGCGGCUCAACCGUAAAAUUGCAAUUUAUACUGGAAGUCUUGAGUACAGUUGAGGUAGGCGGAAUUCGUGGUGUAGCGGUGAAAUGCUUAGAUAUCACGAAGAACCCCGAUUGCGAAGGCAGCUUACUAAACUGUGACUGACAUUGAUGCUCGAAAGUGUUGGUAUCAAACAGGAUUAGAUACCCGUGUAGUC